CCCUUAGAUGUUCUGGGCUGCACACGUGCUACACUGGCAGGUUCAGCGAGCUUCAUGCCCUGAUCUGAAAGGAAUGGGAAAUCUUUUCAAAACCUGCCGUGCUUGGGAUAGAUGUUUGCAAUUAUUCAUCUUCAACGAGGAUUGCCUUGUAAGCGCACGUCAUCAGCGUGCAUUGAAUACGACCCUGUAUUCUGUACACACCGCCCGUCGCUCCUACCGAUUGAAGUUUUCGGUGAGUUGACAGGAGAAUUUUUUUGAAACUGGUUCGCCAGUGGAUUUUAGAUCCAAAUGCCAACGAAUCGAUGGCUUUAGAGGAAGGAGAAGUCGUAACA
rnacentral:rRNA from 1 species